AACGAACGCUGGCGGCAUGCCUAACACAUGCAAGUCGAACGAGACCUUCGGGUCUAGUGGCGCACGGGUGCGUAACGCGUGGGAACCUGCCCUUAGGUUCGGAAUAACUCCCCGAAAGGGGUGCUAAUACCGGAUAAUGACUUCGGACCAAAGAUUGAUCGCCUUUGGAUGGGCCCGCGUUGGAUUAGCUAGUUGGUAGGGUAAAAGCCUACCAAGGCGACGAUCCAUAGCUGGUCUGAGAGGAUGAUCAGCCACACUGGGACUGAGACACGGCCCAGACUCCUACGGGAGGCAGCAGUGGGGAAUAUUGGACAAUGGGCGAAAGCCUGAUCCAGCAAUGCCGCGUGAGUGAUGAAGGCCUUAGGGUUGUAAAGCUCUUUUACCCGGGAUGAUAAUGACAGUACCGGGAGAAUAAGCUCCGGCUAACUCCGUG
rnacentral:rRNA from 1 species